UGUGGCGCCGGUGGCGAAUGCUCCAAUAGGCGGAGAGCCGAUCAGCGCUCACGGUCUACUGGCUCACGGGAGCUGCCGCUCUGCGCUUGGGUCCCGCCCCCUUUCCGGGCCGCGUAGUUGGGUUGCAGCGCACCAGAGGGCAGUAUGAAGGGGUGAAAGGUCACGUUAUGUAAGCGCUGGUGACAGGCCUGCGGGCCUCCAGCGGCGGAGUUGAAAAUGGGGGUCAGCGGGGGACCGAAAGGCCUGGAAUUCAAAGAGGUCAGACCAGAGAAGCCCCUUAACAUAUACAGACACUGCGCCAUCUGUCACCGACGGCGACACCGACAUCCGGGCACCACUGUCCGUGUGGUGCGCCGGAGGGGGAGGGGGAGCGCGCGGCCAGGGGCUUUGUCUUUCCACCGUGCUCCGCCCCCUCCUUAAAGGCGCCGCGUUCGGCCACGCCCGGGGAGGCGCGGGUGGGGCGGAAAGAGAGGAGGGGUUGGCGGGAAUAAGCCCCAAGAUCCUACCCAAGCGAAGGUUCUCCUGAAGAACAGCUUGAGCCCCCAGUCUUGCUCACCCCAAAGUUAACUUCUGGAAGAGAGUGUGGUGGAGAUGUGGAUACUAGUAUGAUGCUUGUUUUUAGGGGCUUGGUGGAAAGGAUCAUACAGGAGCUUCUUUGGAAAAAUACACUAAAAGACAUACCUAGUAAAGAUACAUCCAUUAAUUCUAAUAGUCUUUCGCAGCACCUCCAAAGUUGAGGGCUCUGGACUGGGAGCUUCAGAGGAAAAACAAAAAAUAAGACCGAGACUUGUUUCUGAGAAAACAAGAGGCACGAAUAAUGCCAGUUCGGUGAAGAGUGCUGUCGGAAGUGCACAGUCCCAAGACAGCAGUAACUGCCUGGAGAGUGAGGCCAUUUGAGCUGCUUCCCCGAGCACACUACACCCACAUAGUCCAAACCAUGUCCUAUCCAGGACAAGCCGAAACACUCACGGAUAAUUCUCUCCCUAAUUAAAUUGUCCCCUUCCGUUCAAAGAUCUUCACUGGCCUCAGAACAUACCUCCCCAGCCUGUUCUUCAACAGGGCGGAGAAAGCGGUGGUGCAUGGCAGUGCCAGACCCUUUUCGUCUCAUCUUGAGGUGAGAAGUCUCCCCCCAGGGAAGGGAAUCAGGAGCACAAAAAGGAACUGGACGGAAAGCACAUUGUGACUGCCAGAGCCUUGGGGGAGUGGCAAACACGGAGCACCUGCUUAACGGGUCCAAGGUCAUGGAAAGUUUUGGAGAAAGCUAGCAAUGGCCACACAGUGUUAUGAAUGUACUUAUUGCCACUAAGCGGUACCCUUUUAAAUGGUUAAAAUGGUAAAUUUGAUGUUAUAUGCACUUUACCAUAAUCUAAAAAAGUAAAAAUGAAAGAAAAAGAAAAACCACUCAUGAAUGCCUCCUAAAGACCUGGAGCCAUGGCAAACAUACACUGGUUGCAUUCAGCGUGCAGAGGGACGGAAGUGUAAAUCAGACUACGUGACAACUUCAAGAGGGAUCUCCAAAUCGUUUCUAUCAGAAAGCUCCUCUGUGGGAGUAAUAAGACAAUUGGCAGGCACUCAGCCACCACCCCACUAGGCCCUGCCCCCACAACCUUCAAGAAAGAAGCACUCAAAUACCAACAAGACGUAUUUCAAAUAGUUUAAUUUUAAAAAUAUUCUAUUCAGUGCUAAAAUAUGUCUUCACUCACUGUUGCCCAUUUCCAUUUUCUUAAACUUUUUUGAACAAAAAAUAAAAUCACAAAGUUCAAUUAAACAUGCAGAUUUCAAAGAAGAGGGAACUUUCUAGAAAGUCUGAGCUGAAGGAGUACUGUGGGGGAUGGGUACUGUUGGCAGAACCUCAAAUCCUUGCUGGGGCAGAGUCUGUGGCAAGAGGCAGGGGAUGUUGGAAUGAAA